rnacentral:rRNA from 1 species
CCUUACUGUAGCCUGGUAUUGGGUUCGGGCUUUGACCGCGCAGGAUAGGUGGGAGACUAUGAAGCUGCCCUUGUGGGGGCAGUGGAGUCAUCAGUGAGAUACCACUCUGUCAAGGCUAGAAUUCUAACCGUCUGCCGUUAUCCGGCGACGGAACAGUAUCAGGUGGGCAGUUUGACUGGGGCGGUCGCCUCCUAAAUGGUAACGGAGGCGCGCAAAGGUUCCCUCAGGCUGGUUGGAAAUCAGCCGAAGAGUGUAAAGGCAGAAGGGAGCUUGACUGCAAGAGCAACAACUCAAGCAGGGACGAAAGUCGGCCUUAGUGAUCCGACGGCGCUGAGUGGGAGGGCCGUCGCUCAACGGAUAAAAGUUA